rnacentral:lncRNA from 1 species
GGAGCUGGCACCAGACACGACCGCCCGUGCACCAGGGAAGGGGAGGAGCUGGAGGGCUUCGGUGGGCUGCGGUGAUGCCACGAGAGCCACAGCCAGUUGAAGAGCGCUGCACGCCUCUGCAGAUGCCAUGGCCCUUCAUGCCUCUUCCAGGCACCAGUCCUGAACCACCAUUCCCAUCCAGAUGGGAAACUGAGCCACCAAAAACGACUCACUGCCGAAAAGUGGUCCCUGACUCACACAGAGGGCACCAUCCUGCAGCGCAGAGGAGCUGUCAGGGCCCAGUUUCUCCCGUUCGUCUGCUCAAGGGUGUGCCAUCACUCACGAAGCACAAGGUGGGACUCAGCGCUCUGACUGCAGCCGCACAAGCGAUACGGUCUUCUGCUCCACUUGCACUUGAGACCAGCGCAAUGCGGACACUAUCUGGAAGAGGAGGCAAGGGCAGUGGCCUUAAGUCCAUCCCAGGAGACCGUGGCACGUGCUGGGAGAGGCAGACGGCUGCUGGUAACUCGCUCCUAUUGCUGGAGGGGCCAAUAGCAGCCUGGGAAACAGCAAGAGCCGCAAAGCCCCGGCCCAAGGUCACCUCCCUGCCCAGCACCUUCUCGGCCUCGUGUCUGCCCUGGCUCCAGGGCGGUCAGCGGCCACCAUCUUCACCAGCCCCAGGGCCACACCGGGACCCCGGGCAAGUCACAGCUGUGCCACAGGACCCUGUCUCCAAGCCGCAGCAUGCAAACCCCUCCAACUCAACAGCUCAAGAUUGCCACCGCACUACGGCAGGAUGCCGAAACCCCAGGAGCAGGAGUCCUCAGUACGCCGAAACCCCAGGAGCAGGAGCCCACAGCAGGAUGUGGGGCUCUAUCCGACACAGCAUCACCGAGCACGGGGCACAACCAUCCCCAAGUCCUCGUCCUCUCUCCAAACCCCGCCAUGCCCGCAGGGUGAAGCCUGGUCAAAGCCACCACCUCCCUCUCCUGCCCCAAACGAGAGCUUGUGGAGUCCUCCAAACCUGGGGGCUCCGUGUCUCUCCCCGAGGCCAUCCCUGGGGAGGGACACGGCCACGUGCGGGGCUCGCCGCGCCGGCUGAGCCAAAGCUGCGAGGAGGGCGGCCCCGGGGAGACGGCUCGAGUGCCCGUAAACAUCUGAAGUGAAAUAAAGAGGGAGAUGGGGGCAGGGAGAGGAUUCUCUGCAGGCGGCAACGCAGCCAGCAGCAGCUACAGCAAGAAAAAUGUAGGUCGUCUCGGAAAAGAUGUGUCAGAGGAGGGAGCCAGGCAAGCGAGGGAGGGAGCCUGGAGAGGAGAUGCGAGGCGAGGAGAGAAGAGGCAACACAGGGACAAGAGCGAGAGCCUGUGCCGGGCCCAUCAGGAAGGAGCCGAAGGACAGG